GACGAAGAAGUUGCAGAUGAGGUCCUGGUUGGAAAGUCUGUUAAAGAGAAUUUUCCUGAAGAUCACAACCCCAACGACUUCCAAACGCCUCAUCAAGAUGUAGAGGAGAUCAGUUCGGCUGAUGAAUCAGAGGACGAUCAAGAUACAGAGCAGGUUGCUGGUGGAAAUUCUUUUGGUGUGUCUGAGGACGUGGGAUUUGUUGGUGAGGAGAGAAGGGAAGCUAUAGAGAAUAAGUCUGUUGGUGUGUCUGAGCACGUUGAUGUUGUUGAGUGCGAGGACAGAAGAGAAGAAGUAAUUGAAAAGUCUGUUGAUGUCUCCGGGGACGAUGUUGAGACUGAGGUUUUAGAGGAUAAGU